rnacentral:rRNA from 1 species
UACGUAGGGGGCAAGCGUUGUCCGGAAUCAUUGGGCGUAAAGCGCGUGUAGGCGGCCCGGUAAGUCCGCUGUGAAAGUCGGGGGCUCAACCCUCGAAUGCCGGUGGAUACUGUCGGGCUAGAGUGCGGAAGAGGCGAGUGGAAUUCCUGGUGUAGCGGUGGAAUGCGCAGAUAUCAGGAAGAACACCGACGGCGAAGGCAGCUCGCUGGGACGGUACUGACGCUGAGGCGCGAAAGCGUGGGGAGCGAACAGG